AGUCAAUGAUUAAAAUGUGUAAGAGUAGUGGACAGAAGAGAUUUCUGAGGAUUUUUCCACAAUGAGGCU
rnacentral:snoRNA from 1 species